rnacentral:tRNA from 1 species
GCCCGGGUGGUGGAAUUGGCAGACACGGGGGGCUUAAACCCCCCUUCCGCGCGAGCGGAGUAUGGGUUCGAAUCCCAUUCCGGGCA